rnacentral:rRNA from 1 species
UAGUCUGCAACUCGACUACAUGAAGCUGGAAUCGCUGUAAUCGCGAAUCAGAAUGUCGCGGUGAAUACGUUCCCGGGUCUUGUACACACCGCCCGUCACACCAUGGGAGUUGGGAAUGCCCGAAGCCGGUGACCUAACCGCAAGGAAGGAGCCGUCGAAGGCAGGCUUGAUAACUGGGGUGAAGUCGUAACAAGGUACC